rnacentral:lncRNA from 1 species
UCUCCCUCAUCUCACCUGCUAACUCCCGUGUGGCUUCAUCGAGGGUAUGAUGUUGCCAUCGUACUUUCAUCAUGGGAAUUUUAUUUGUUGUCCAAGACCUUGUCGGUUCACCCAAGAAUCUCCACAAAAACCUCCUCAUAAGUCAUGUCAACCUGUACCUGCACCUCAUCAUGAGGAAUAAUAUGAGAAGGAUCAGGAUGGUAUCUCUUAAGCAUCGAGAUGUGAAAGGCAUCAUGAAGACCAGCAAACUCUCGGGAUAGAGCGAGGUGGUAUGCCACAGGUCCAAUGUGCUCGAUGAUCAAAAAAUGUCCUACAUAACAAGGGCUCAACUUCCCUCUCUCGGUGUGAUAAAUGAUCUUGCAAUUGUAAUCCUUCAGAAGAUCAAUCUAGUGCCUUUGCCUCAUGUUUAACUUCUGCUGAGAGAAGAUAUACUUGAGACUCUUAUGGUCAGUGUAGAUUUCAAAAGUCUG